AAUUAAUGCCGCAUACGCCCUACGGGGGAAAGAUUUAUCGGGGAAGGAUUAGCCCGCGUUGGAUUAGCUAGUUGGUGGGGUAAAGGCCUACCAAGGCGACGAUCCAUAGCUGGUCUGAGAGGAUGAUCGGCCACAUUGGGACUGAGACACGGCCCAAACUCCUACGGGAGGCAGCAGUGGGGAAUAUUGGACAAUGGGCGCAAGCCUGAUCCAGCCAUGCCGCGUGAGUGAUGAAGGCCUUAGGGUUGUAAUGCUCUUUCACCGGAGAAGAUAAUGACGGUAUCCGGAGAAGAAGCCCCGGCUAACUUCGUGCCAGCAGCCGCGGUAAUACGA
rnacentral:rRNA from 1 species